rnacentral:tRNA from 1 species
ACUUUUAUAGGAUAGAAGUAAUCCAUUGGCCUUAGGAGCCAAAAAAUUGGUGCAACU